AUUCAUGUAAACAUAGUAUAAGCGUUGAAUUUGAUAAUCAUGAGUAAUUUUAAUGUUUUGUCAUUUAGUCUGCAUCUCUCUGGUCUGUACACUUUGACAGCCAUUCUCAAAAGUAUUUCUAUAGGAGCUAAUGUGGCAUAUAUCGCUUGAUUAGAACAUGGAGGUAUUAUACUUCCAUAAUCAGUAGAUGUGUUGAUAGAAGAGGAAAUUAGUUCCUAUUAACUUGCCAAUACAUUAAGGGGUAUUUUGACAUCUCAGAAAUGAAGUUAUUUAAAUAAAACAUAGCAUGAAUAAAGAAAUUAUAAAUAAAUUAAAAAAAAAAUCACUUAAUAAUUAUUAAAAGGUAUGCUUGUCACAACAUUGAAAAUAAUUUUUAGUACAAACAAUGUAUAUAAUGUCUAUAUCUUAGCAAUAUUUUGCUAAUUAGAUAAAAAAAAUCGUAAGGGUUCCACGGAACCCGGUGUCUCGCCUACUUUUUCUGUUAAUCGCAGACUCAACAAAAAUGAGGAAAAACAUCAAUAAAAAUUUCCCUCACAAUACUGUCUUUUGAUUGAAAGAAGCUUCCAAGUUUGGUAAAAAAAUCCAGGAUAGUUUAUGAAUCUAAUAAAUGUUUUAUAAACUUUAACUGCAGACUGUAUGUAAUGUUAACUGGAAGAAAAACUAAG
rnacentral:lncRNA from 1 species